AUUGAACGCUGGCGGCAGGCCUAACACAUGCAAGUCGAACGCGUGGCGGACGGGUGAGUAAUGUCUGGGAAACUGCCUGAUGGAGGGGGAUAACUACGGGAAACUGUAGCUAAUACCGCAUAACCUCGGAUGUGCCCAGAUGGGAUUAGCUAGUAGGUGGGGUAAAGGCUCCCCUAGGCGACGACCCCUAGCUGGUCUGAGAGGAUGACCAGCCACACUGGAACUGAGACACGGUCCAGACUCCUACGGGAGGCAGCAGUGGGGAAUAUUGCACAAGGGGCGCAAGCCUGAUGCAGCCAUGCCGCGUGUAUGAAGAAGGCCUUCGGGUUGUAAAGUACUUUCAGCGGGGAGGCGUUACCCACAGAAGAAGCACCGGCUAACUCCGUGCCAGCCGCCGCGGUAAUAC
rnacentral:rRNA from 1 species